ACGUCGCCCCGUGCGGCGUACGCGGCCCGAACGGGCCCGUGGGGUGGGGGUGGUGCCGUGUCGGCGCAGCACCACCCCCGCGCC
rnacentral:ncRNA from 1 species